AUACAUCACACAGUCCUAGACACUUGGGAAGUGUUCGACUUGUGAUUUUGUGAUACGAAAUCCAGCAUAUCUAUCUUGUUUGCUGUGUCAUAAUAUUAUAAUAAUAAUAAUAAUAAUAAUAAUAAUAAUAAUAAUAAUAAUAAUAAUAAGUUUAUUUAUAUCCCGCCUCUAUCUCCCCGAAGGGAACUCGGGGCGGCUUACAACAAAAUCCAAAUACAAGCAAUGAUAAAACAGGAAACAUCAAAGGACAAAAACAGAAACCAAUAACAAAAUAUACACAAUAAGCCGAAAAACCCAACGAGGUAUUAAAACAUCGAAUUAAAAACAAUGAGGUUGCAAUAGUGGAUAAGCAAGGUGCACCUUAUGAGUAACAAAUUCGUAAAUAGAUAAAGUGCAAUAGAUUCAUUUAAGGUCUUAAAUGAAUCCAUCUCUUGCAAGUUAUGCAACUGCCUCGUUAAGUAAUAAGCCCUUCUUUUGAUAAUAGUCAAACGAAUAAGGUUUGUUUUGUUUUUAAUUGCGUAUUUUAUCCAAGCCAGUGCUUUGCUUUUAAAAAAAGAAUCAAACUGUACGCCGUAUCUACCUAAACGUCAGUCUUUGGGAAUUAAAAGCCUUUUUAAAAAUCAGAUUACUUUGCAUACAAAAAGUUCCCUAAAUAGCUAUCGCAUGUGUGUUUAUUCAGGAGUAAACCUCAUUGGAUCCUAUAAACCAAUGAUACCACUUUAAAUGCCAUGGAUGAUGAUGAUGAUGAAGAAUAAUAUCUCGCAUUGAGUUGUUGUGAGUUUUCCAAACUGUAUGGCCAUGUCCCAGAAGCAUUAUCUCCUGACGUUUCUCCCACAUCUAUGGCAGGCAUCCUCAGAGGUUGUGAGUUCUGUUGGAAACUAAGCAAGUGGAGUUUAUAUAUCUGUGGAAUAAUGUCCAGGGUUUGAGAAAGAACUCUUGUAUGUUGGAGGCAAGUGCGAAUGUUGCCAUUGGCAAACUUGAUUAGCCUUGCAGCCUCAAAGCCUGGCUGCUUCCUGCUAUGGCACUGAAUAACUGCAAGGCUAUUCAGUGCUAAUCAAGGUGACCAGUUGCAACAUUUCCACUUGCCUCAAACAGAGAAGAGUUCCUUCACUCACCCUGGACAUCAUUCCACAGACAGACAGACAGACAGACAGAUAGAUAGAUAGCCUAGUUUCCAACAGACCUCACAACUUUUAGGGAUGCCUGCCGUAAAUGUGGGCAGAACGUCAGGAGAGAAUGCUUCUGGAACAUGGCCAGACAGCCCGGAAAGCUCACAGGAACGCAGUUAUUCUGGCCAUGAAAGCCUUCGACAACACGUUGUUGUUGUUGUUGUUGUUGUUGUUGUUGUAUGACACAGCAAACAAGAUAGACAUGCUGGAUUUCGUAUCACAAAACCACAAGUCGAACCCUUCCCAAGUGUCUAGGACUGUGUGAUGUAUUUUCAGAUGAUGCGUGCAGAUCCCAGUCGGGUGGCCUUUUGCAGUUGGCAGAUCGUGAUUUUGUCAAUGUCUAUUGUUUCCAAAUGCCGGCUGAGAUCUUUUGGCACGGCACCCAGUGUGCCCAUCACCACCGGGACCACCUGCACUGGUUUCUGCUUCUUCUUCUUCGUCUUCUUCUUUUUCUUCUUCUUCUUCUUAUUAUUGUUAUUUGAAACACAACAAGAUGAGUCCACAGCAGAUUUAUUAUGUUGUAUGGCACAGCAAACAAGAUAGAUAUGCUGGAUUUCGUUUCACAAAACCACAAGUCGAACACUUCCCAAGUGUCUAGGACUGUGUGAUGUAUUAUUGUAUUAUUACAAUAUGUAAUAAUAUGUAUUAUUAUUAUUAUUAUUAUUAUUAUUAUUAUUAUUAUUAUUAUUAUUAGAAACACAACAAGAUGAGUCCACAGCAGACAUUCUGCUGGCUGUUGUAAUUUAUUUAUUUAUUUAUUUAUUAUUAUUAUUAUUAGUUGUUGUUGUUAUUUAUUAUUAUUUUAUUAUGACACAACAAACAAGAUAGAUAUGCUGGAUUUCCUAUCACAAAAUCACAAGUCGAACACUUCCCAAGUGUCUAGGACUGUGUCAUGUAUUAUUAUUAUUAUUAUUAUUAUUAUUAUUAUUAUUAUUAUUAUUAUUAUUAUUAUUAGAAACACAACAAGAUGAGUCCACAGCAGACAUUCUGCUGGCUGUUGUAAUUUAUUUAUUUAUUUAUUUAUUAUUAUUAUUAGUUGUUGUUGUUAUUUAUUAUUAUUUUAUUAUGACACAGCAAACAAGAUAGAUAUGCUGGAUUUCCUAUCACAAAAUCACAAGUCGAACACUUCCCAAGUGUCUAGGACUGUGUCAUGUAUUAUUAUUAUUAUUAUUAUUAUUAUUAUUAUUAUUAUUAUUAUUAUUAUUAGAAACACAACAAGAUGAGUCCACAGCAGACAUUCUGCUGGCUGUUGUAAUUUAUUUAUUUAUUUAUUUAUUAUUAUUAUUAGUUGUUGUUGUUAUUUAUUAUUAUUUUAUUAUGACACAGCAAACAAGAUAGAUAUGCUGGAUUUCAUAUCACAAAAUCACAAGUCGAACACUUCCCAAGUGUCUAGGACUGUGUGAUGUAUUUUCGGAUGAUGUGCUCAGAUCCCAGUAUGUUGUUGUUGUUGUUGUUGUUGUUGUUGUUGUUGUUAUUGUAUGACACAGCAAACGAGAUAGAUAUGCUGGAUUUCAUAUCACAAAAUCACAAGUCGAACACAUCCCAAGUGUCUAGGACUGUGUGAUGUAUUUUCAGAUGAUGUGCUCAGAUCCCAGUAUGUUGUUGUUGUUGUUGUUGUUGUUGUUGUUGUUGUUGUUGUUGUUAUUGUAUGACACAGCAAACGAGAUAGAUAUGCUGGAUUUCAUAUCACAAAAUCACAAGUCGAACACAUCCCAAGUGUCUAGGACUGUGUGAUGCAUUUUUGGAUGAUGUGCUCAGAUCCCAGUAUGUUGUUGUUGUUGUUGUUGUUGUUGUUAUUGUAUGACACAGCAGACAAGAUAGAUAUGCUGGAUUUCAUAUCACAAAAUCACAAGUCGAACACAUCCCAAGUGUCUAGGACUGUGUGAUGCAUUUUUGGAUGAUGCGCGCAGAUCCCAGCAGGGUUGUUAUUAUUAUUAUUAUUGUUAUUGUUGUUGUUGUUGUUGUUGUACCCAGAAAAGAGAACAGUAAAACCAAUACAAUAUUAUGGAAUUAAGAGAGUUGUAGUUUGGUACUACUCCUUAGCAGAGAAGGCUAAAGGCUUUGCAAAACUGUGACUCCCUGGAUUCCAUAGCCUUGAGUGGUUAAAGUGGUGUCAAACCGCAUCCAUUCUGCAGUGUAGAUGCAACUUUUGCAGUUACAGCACUGAGCUGGUUGUCCUGUGUAGAUGCACCCUUUGCUGGUUGUCCUGUGUUUAAUGCUGCCUUAUAUGAAAGGCCUCCUCCUCCUCCUUUUACUAUGCAAAGCGUAGAGACAAGCGAAGCUGCUUUCUCUGCAAUUUGGGGACGCAAAGAAGCGCUCCCUUCCUACUGCUUGCUGGCAUUUUGGCAACAGAGCGAGUAUUUCUGGGCCUUUGCUACGCUCUCGCUCUUUCCUUCCUUCCUUCUUUCCUUCCUCAUUCCUUCCUUCCUUCCUUUCCUGCCACGAACGGGGGCGGCUCUUUGACAAGUGGAAGAGGAGUAGGUGGCUCGAAAUGUUCCUUCGUGCUCUUACACAAUCCCAUCAUCGCCAAACAAGGGCAGGUCUUAUUUUUCUCUUUACAUCAGGGAGACGAGGAAAGGCCUCCAAACCCCUUUUAUUUGGGAUCCUUUCGGAUUUGGAAAUACCUGCAUUUGUGUAUCCACCUUAUCACGUGGAGAAAUGUCCCUUGGCUUCUUUUCAAGCAUGGAGAGGCACGGAGCUCAUCAUUUAUUCAUUCAUUCAUUUAUUUACUGUAUUUAUAUUCCGCACUUCUUUCAUCCACUGUGACACCACGUCCUUAAUGGAGUACUUCCUCAUUCUUCCGCACUGCUGCUGGACGUUUUUAUGGUCAUAAAUUAGUUAAAUUAGCCUCCACGCAUAAAGCGGUACCUAAAUUUCCUACUCAACAGAUGCAAUUGUCUUUUGAGUUGCUUAAGUCAACAACGAGCUAGGCUAUUUAAUGGUCGGGUGCUCAAUCCGGCCCGGGAUGGCUUCAAACUCAUGACCUCUUGGUCAGUAGUGAUUUAUUGCAGCUGGCUACUAACCGGCUGCACCACAGCCCGGCCUCGCAUGAGUUAAGCUACUUCUGGCCAUCAUGCAUAGCAUGUUGUUGUUACUGUUAUUAUUAUUAUUAUGGUCCAGGUAGUAAAUGUGGAGCCGAAUAUGCAAAUUGUCCAUGAACAUGUCUUGUGCAUGGAUGCACAUGUUACAUAGAUGUGCAGUGCACACUUUGGUACAUAAACGCAUCAGGUUGCACAUUUGAUGUAUUAUUAUUAUUAUUAUUAUUAUUAUUAUUCUGGUCCAGGUUGUAAAUCUGGGGCUGAACAUGCAAAUUGUCUAUGGACAUGAAUUGUGCAUGGAUGCCCACGGUGCAUAGAUGUGAAAUGCAUCAGGUUGCACAUUUGAUGUCUUAUUAUUAUUAUUAUUAUUAUUAUUUUUCUGGUCCAGGUUGUAAAUCUGGGGCUGAACAUGCAAAUUGUCUAUGGACAUGAAUUGUGCAUGGAUGCCCACGGUGCAUAGAUGUGAAAUGCAUCAGGUUGCACAUUUGAUGUCUUAUUAUUAUUAUUAUUAUUAUUAUUUUUCUGGUCCAGGUUGUAAAUCUGGGGCUGAACAUGCAAAUUGUCUAUGGACAUGAAUUGUGCAUGGAUGCCCACGGUGCAUAGAUGUGAAAUGCAUCAGGUUGCACAUUUGAUGUCUUAUUAUUAUUAUUAUUAUUAUUAUUAUUAUUAUUAUUAUUAUUAUUAUUCUGGUCCAGGUUGUAAAUCUGGGGCUGAACAUGCAAAUUGUCUAUGGACAUGAAUUGUGCAUGGAUGCCCACGGUGCAUAGAUGUGAAAUUCAUCAGGUUGCACAUU